AUUGAACGCUGGCGGCAUGCCUAACACAUGCAAGUCGAACGAGUGGCGGACGGGUGACUACUGUCUGGGCAACUGCCCGAUGGAAGGGGAUCACUACUGUAAAAGGUAGCUAUUACCGCAUACCGUCCGAUUAGCCCGGUUGGGAGUGGCUAGCAGGUGGGGUAACGGCUCUCUUAGGGGACGAGCCCUAGCUGGUCCGAGAGGAUGACCAGCCACCCGGGGAGGGAGACACGGCCCAGACUCCUACGGGAGGCAGCAGUAGGGAAUAUGGGGCAAUGGGCGCAAGCCUGAUGAAGCCAUGCCGCGUGUAUGAAGAAGGCAUUCGGGUUGUAAAGUACUGUCAGCGAGGAGGCGUUACUCGCAGAAGAAGCAACGGCUAACUCCGUGCCAGCAGCCGCGGUAAUAC
rnacentral:rRNA from 1 species